rnacentral:rRNA from 1 species
AGCGAACGCUGACGGCAGGCUUAACACAUGCAAGUCGAACGCCCCGCAAGGGGAGUGGCAGACGGGUGAGUAACACGUGGGAACGUACCCUUUGGCUCGGAAUAACUUGGGGAAACUCAAGCUAAUACCGGAUAAGCCCUUAUGGGGAAAGGUUUACUGCCGAAGGUUCGGCCCGCGGCUGAUUAGCUAGUUGGUGAGGAAAUGGCCCACCAAGGCGACGAUCAGUAGCUCGUCUGAGAGGAGGAUCAGCCACACUGGGACUGAGACACGGCCCAGACUCCAACGGGAGGCAGCAGUGGGGAAUAUUGGAGAAUGGGGUCAACCCUGAUCCAGCCAUGCCGCGUGAGUGAUGAAGUCCUUAGGGUUGUAAAGCUCUUUUACCCGGGACGUUAAUGACUGUACCGAGAGAAUAAGCCCCGGCUAACUUCGUGCCAGCCGCCGCAGUAA